GACGAACGCUGGCGGCGUGCUUAACACAUGCAAGUCGAACGGUGAAGCACCUUCCUUUUGGUGGGUGUGGAUGAGUGGCGAACGGGUGAGUAACACGUGAGUAACCUGCCCCCUUCUUCUGGAUAACCGCAUGAAAGUGUGGCUAAUACGGGAUAUUCUGUGCCUGCUGCAUGGUGGGUGUGGGAAAGGUGCGCGUUUGGGUGUUUGUGGUGGGGGAUGGGCUCGCGGCCUAUCAGCUUGUUGGUGGGGUGAUGGCCUACCAAGGCGGUGACGGGUAGCCGGCCGGCGGGUGUGGACGGUCACACUGGGACUGGGCCACGGCCCAGACUGCUACGGGAGGCAGCAGUGGGGAAUAUUGCACAGUGGGCGCAAGCCUGAUGCAGCGACGCCGCGUGAGGGAUGGCGGCCUUCGGGUUGUAAACCUCUUUCGCCAGUGAAGCAGGCCUGUCCCUUGUGGGUGGGUUGACGGUAGCUGGAUAAGAAGCGCCGGCUAACUACGUG
rnacentral:rRNA from 1 species